rnacentral:rRNA from 1 species
AUUGAACGCUGGCGGCAGGCUUAACACAUGCAAGUCGAGCGGGGUGAUGGUGCUUGCACUAUCACUUAGCGGCGGACGGGUGAGUAAUGCUUCGGAAUCUGCCUAUUUGUGGGGGACAACAUCUCGAACGGGAUGCUAAUACCGCAUACGUCAUACGGGCGAAAGCAGCGGAUCACUUGUGACCUUGCGCUAAUAGAUGAGCCUAAGUCGGAUUAGCUAGUUGGUGGGGUAAAGGCCUACCAAGGCGACGAUCUGUAGCGGGUCUGAGAGGAUGGUCCGCCACACUGGGACUGAGACACGGUCCAGACUCCUACGGGAGGCAGCAGUGGGUAAUUUUGGACAAUGGGCGAAAGCCUGAUCCAGCCAUUCCGCGUGAGUGAAGAAGGCCUUCGGGUUGUAAAGCUCUUUCGCAAGGAAAGAAAACUCAUUUCCUAAUACGAGAUGAGGAUGACGGUACCUUGACAAGAAGCACCGGCUAACUACGUGCCAGCCGCCGCAGUAAAAC